GAUGAAGAACGUAGCGAAAUGCGAUACGUAAUGUGAAUUGCAGAAUUCAGUGAAUCAUCGAGUCUUUGAACGCACAUUGCGCCCCCUGGUAUUCCGGGGGGCAUGCCUGUCCGAGCGUCAUUGCUGCCCUCAAGCACGGCUUGUGUGUUGGGCCUCCGUCCUCCUCGGGGGACGGGCCCGAAAGGCAGCGGCGGCACCGCGUCCGGUCCUCGAGCGUAUGGGGCUUCGUCACCCGCUCUUGUAGGCCCGGCCGGCGCUUGCCGACACAUCAAUCUUUUUUCCAGGUUGACCUCGGAUCAGGUAGGGAUACCCGCUGAACUUAAGCAUAUCAAUAAGCGGAGGA
rnacentral:misc_RNA from 1 species